CAAAAGGGGGUGUCAGUGCACGAAGGGUGGAAGAGGGGGAGAAGGCCGAGGUGCACAUUUUCGGGGACCACAACAUCCUAAGGGAUCAUUGGGACAGUUGGAGAAACAGAUCAAGCUUCCAGGAACAAUACCUUGAGGCACACCACAGACCGGGAGGGAGUUGUUGUCUGUUACCACCACAAACUCCAGAACCACUCCACAGAUCUGUCCUGAGGAGGAAGCGGCCACCGCCACUGCCACUGACUCCAUAACCGUAUUUCACGGAUUAGAGAGGAGACUCCAUCACUACCUCUACCUCUGGUGCCAUUCAUACCAUCAAAACAUGAAUUCCCCAUGCAGACCCUAUUUUCCCGCAGGGCUGAAACCAGGCUUAGAAAAGAAUAAUCCGGGCAAGGAAGAGCCAGUCAAGAUGGAUCAUGCAAAUAAAG
rnacentral:lncRNA from 1 species